AGGGGGAGUGCAGGAUCCUGAGCUGUGUCCCCAGCACCCUGGGAUCCAGGGCCUGCGCUGCUGGAAUCAUGCUCCAGGGGCAGUGGCUCCCA
rnacentral:pre_miRNA from 1 species